UACGUAGGGUGCGAGCGUUGUCCGGAAUUAUUGGGCGUAAAGAGCUUGUAGGCGGUCUGUCGCGUCUGCUGUGAAAAUCCGGGGCUCAACCCCGGACUUGCAGUGGGUACGGGCAGACUAGAGUGUGGUAGGGGAGACUGGAAUUCCUGGUGUAGCGGUGAAAUGCGCAGAUAUCAGGAGGAACACCGAUGGCGAAGGCAGGUCUCUGGGCAACUCCUGACGCUGAGGCGCGAAAGCGUGGGGAGCAAACGGG
rnacentral:rRNA from 1 species